UAAGUGUAGUUUUCAAAAACAAUAAUAAAUAGUGUAAUUUUCAAAAGGUAUUUUUCCAAAUUUUCCCAAAAAAAAAAACUGUUGGGAAUUGAGAUGAGUUUUUUCUUGAAAUAUUUUCACUCUAGGACACAUUCCUCAUCUUUAUUUACAUUCCAAGACACAUUGUUAUACUGACACACUUUCCUCAACUAAUUUUCUUCCUUUUCGUUAGAACUCAAUCAUAAGGCAACUAAUUAAAUUUUCCUUUGGCGGGAUUAGCCCACAACCAUUGAUCUUCUUAAAGCUCCAACGGUUGAGAUUUUACUUGGCAGAUCUGGAAAAAACAUAUAUAUGCUAUUUAAUAAUAACCAUUCGAUCAAUAUCCCUCUCUCUUAUUUUCAACGGUCCAGAUUUAGUUCUACCUAUAACAUUAUUCUCUUUCUUCUCUCCCCCAACGACGUCGACUUUCUCUGUGUUCAUCGAGGAAAAAAAAAUCUAAACUUUGUUAACUAAUCCAAGAUUUUUAAUCCUGAUUAUUGGAUUCUAAGUGGUGGUUUGUGAGAUAACUUUGUUUAAUAAUUUGUUUUACUGUAAUUCCAACAUCUUAAUUUUGGUUGAAUAACAACUCUGUUUUUUUUUUGUUUUAGGUAUCUUCCAUGGUAAAGCAUUGUAUAAUUAUCGCCGGCGAAUAGUAGACGUCCGACGACAGCAGCGGGAAUGUGUUGCAGGAGUUCUUUGUCAACACCGAAGCUCCCCCCCCCCUCCGCCUCACUGAGCUAUUGACCGCAUAACACCAAGGAACUUAUAACCAGAAUCUUCACCAAACUUUUUUGAUUCCUAAAUUUAGCAGAACACCACAUGAUUUUUUUCAACCUCUCA
rnacentral:lncRNA from 1 species